GAUGAAGAACGCAGUGAAAUGCGAUAAGUAAUGUGAAUUGCAGAAUUCAGUGAAUCAUCGAAUCUUUGAACGCACAUUGCGCCCCCUGGUAUUCCGGGGGGCAUGCCUGUUCGAGCGUCAUUUCACCACUCAAGCCUCGCUUGGUAUUGGGCGACGCGGUCCGCCGCGCGCCUCAAAUCGACCGGCUGGGUCUUCCGUCCCCUCAGCGUUGUGGAAACUAUUCGCUAAAGGGUGCCGCGGGAGGUCACGCCGCAAAACAACCCCAUUUCUAAGGUUGACCUCGGAUCAGGUAGGGAUACCCGCUGAACUUAAGCAUAUCAAUAAGCGGAGGA
rnacentral:misc_RNA from 1 species